rnacentral:rRNA from 1 species
AGAGUUUGAUCCUGGCUCAGGAUGAACGCUAGCGGCAGGCUUAACACAUGCAAGUCGCGGGGCAGCGCGGGUAGCAAUACCUGGCGGCGACCGGCGGAAGGGUGCGUAACGCGUGAGCAACAUGCCCGUAUCAGGGGGAUAACCGAUGGAAACGUCGCCUAAUACCCCAUAACAACGAGGGCCGCAUGACCCAUGUUUGAAAGUUACGGCGGAUACGGAUUGGCUCGCGUGACAUUAGCUGGUUGGCGGGGUAACGGCCCACCAAGGCUACGAUGUCUAGGGGUUCUGAGAGGAAGGUCCCCCACACUGGAACUGAGACACGGUCCAGACUCCUACGGGAGGCAGCAGUGAGGAAUAUUGGUCAAUGGGCGCAAGCCUGAACCAGCCAUGCCGCGUGCAGGAAUGAGGCCCUAUGGGUCGUAAACUGCUUUUGCUGCGGAGCAAUAAGUGCUACGUGUAACACGAUGAGAGUACGCAGCGAAUAAGCAUCGGCUAACUCCGUGCCAGCAGCCGCGGUAAUACGGAGGAUGCGAGCGUUAUCCGGAUUUAUUGGGUUUAAAGGGUGCGUAGGCUGUUCGUCAAGUCAGUGGUGAAAUGCCGGGGCUCAACCCCGGAGCUGCCAUUGAUACUGUCGGGCUUGAAUCCUGCUGCCCUGGGAGGAAUGAGUAGUGUAGCGGUGAAAUGCAUAGAUAUUACUCAGAACACCGAUUGCGAAGGCAUCUCACGAAACAGGCAUUGACGCUGAGGCACGAAAGCGUGGGGAUCAAACAGGAUUAGAUACCCUGGUAGUCCACGCAGUAAACGAUGAUGACUAACCGCUGGCGAUAUAGUGUCAGUGGCCAAGCGAAAGCGAUAAGUCAUCCACCUGGGGAGUACGACCGCAAGGUUGAAACUCAAAGGAAUUGACGGGGGCCCGCACAAGCGGAGGAACAUGUGGUUUAAUUCGAUGAUACGCGAGGAACCUUACCCGGGCUCGAACGGUGCAGGAAGGAUCUAGAGAUAGUGACGCCCUUCGGGGCCUGCAUCGAGGUGCUGCAUGGUUGUCGUCAGCUCGUGUCGUGAGAUGUUGGCUCAAGUGCCAUAACGAGCGCAACCCCUUCCGCCGGUUACCAUCGGGUCAUGCCGGGGACUCCGGCGGCACUGCCGCCGCAAGGCGCGAGGAAGGCGGGGAUGACGUCAAAUCAGCACGGCCCUUACGUCCGGGGCCACACACGUGUUACAAUGGGGGGCACAGCGAGCUGGGGGAUGGCGACAUACCCCGAAUCACGAAAUCCCCUCCCAGUUCGGACCGGAGUCUGCAACCCGACUCCGCGAAGCCGGAUUCGCUAGUAAUCGCGCAUCAGCCAUGGCGCGGUGAAUACGUUCCCGGGCCUUGUACACACCGCCCGUCAAGCCAUGAAAGCCUGGGGCGCCUGAAGUCCGUUGCGGCGACGCGCGGCCGAGGGCGAUACAGGUGAUUGGGGCUAAGUCGUAACAAGGUAGCCGUA